rnacentral:rRNA from 1 species
AACGAACGCUGGCGGCAUGCCUAACACAUGCAAGUCGAACGAGACCUUCGGUUCUAGUGCCUCACGAGUGCGUAAAGCGUGGGAACCUGCACUUAGGUUCGGACUAACUACUCGACUGGGGUGCUCAUACCGGAUACUGUCUUCGACCAAAAUUUUUAUCGCCUUUGAAUGGGCCCGCGUUGGAUUAUCUAGUUGAUAGGGUAAAAGCUUACAAAGGCAAUGAUCAGUAGCUGGUCUGGGAGAAUGAUCGGCAACACUGGGACUGAGACACGGCCCAGCCUCCUACGGAAGGAGGCAGUGGGAAAUUUUGAACAAUGGCGGAAGCCCUGUCCAGGAAUGCCGCGGGAAUUUAGAAGGCCUUAGGGUUGUAAAGCUCUUUUACCCGGGAUGAUAAUGACAGUACCGUGAGAAUAAGGUCCGGCUAACUCCGUG